AUGGUGAAACAAAAGAAUAGCGAAGAAGAAGCAAAUGCGCUUCACGCUAAUUCCAAGUACCAACACAAAACAAAUUCAAUGUUUGGUGAAGCAACUUGCUUAGUGGCGGACGGGUGAGUAACGCGUGAACAAUCUGCCCCGUACAAAGGGAUAGCCUCGGGAAACCGGGAUUAAAACCAUAUAACACUUAACUGCCGCAUGGUAGUGAAGUCAAAUCGAUUAAGAGGUAUGGGAUGAGUUCGCGUCUGAUUAGCUAGUUGGUGAGGUAAGGGCUCACCAAGGCGACGAUCAGUAGCCGGCCUGAGAGGGUGAACGGCCACACUGGAACUGAGACACGGUCCAGACUCCUACGGGAGGCAGCAGUGGGGAAUAUUGCACAAUGGAGGGAACUCUGAUGCAGCGACGCCGCGUGAGUGAAGAAGGUCUUCGGAUCGUAAAACUCUGUCCUUGGUGAAGAAAAGGACGGUAGCCAAGGAGGAAGCCCCGGCUAACUACGUGCCAGCAGCCGCGGUAAUACGUAGGGGGCGAGCGUUGUCCGGAUUUACUGGGCGUAAAGGGUGAGUAGGCGGUUAUAUAUGUCAGGUGUAAAAAGCUAUGGCUUAACCAUAGUAAGCACUUGAAACUGUAUGACUUGAGUGCAGGAGAGGUAAGCGGAAUUCCUAGUGUAGCGGUGAAAUGCGUAGAUAUUAGGAGGAACACCAGUGGCGAAGGCGGCUUACUGGACUGUAACUGACGCUGAGACACGAAAGCGUGGGUAGCAAACAGGAUUAGAUACCCUGGUAGUCCACGCUGUAAACGAUGAGUGCUAGGUGUUGGGUAGCGAUAUUCAGUGCCGGAGUAAACACAAUAAGCACUCCGCCUGGGGAGUACGGUCGCAAGACUGAAACUCAAAGGAAUUGACGGGGACCCGCACAAGCAGCGGAGCAUGUGGUUUAA
rnacentral:rRNA from 1 species